rnacentral:lncRNA from 1 species
CAGCUGUGUGUGGGCUCCCGUGUACCACAGUAGGGGGCCAGCUGUGUGUGGGCUCCCGUGUACCACAGUAGGGGCCAGCUGUGUGUGGAGCCAGCAGGGAACAGUGCUGUGAGGCAGGAGGCACUCAUUACCUUCUGUACCUGGAUGAGUCACCACCAUUUUUAAGCCUGCCUCUCCCUCUUUUUUAAUGCCUCUUCCAUUUUUAAGUCUCCCAUGGUAGCCCCACCUCCACCAAGAGUCACAGCCCCAUUCUUAUCUCUCUUGUACCUGGCUUAUCUCCAGGCAGAGUCGGUCUUUGGCACUGUUUGUCCCAUGUCCCUCACUUGGAUCUGUCACGGGUUCUCAUUUCUGUGUCUUUGUCAUGAGGUGGGGCAUUAUCAGUGGAUCCUCGGGAACUACAUGAGGACUGAGAAAGGAAGGCUGAGAGGGGCUUCUUUCAGAAGAUAGGUGAUGGCUCUGGAGAAAUUAGAGGACGGGCAUGAGCAAGGGGAGUGGGCACCAGGGGACACUUCAUCAAAGACAAGGAGCUAUGCCUGCCCUGGGAAAAGUGAGAUUAGCUCCUACAGUCAGGGGCCCCUCCAGAGUUUUGAUUUUUGGUUUUUUUUUUUUGAGACAGGAUCUCACUGUGCAGCACUGGCUGACCUUGAACUCACCGAGAUCAGCUUGCCUGUGCUGGGACAUGGCAAGUUCCUAACCAGGAACAUCACAGAAGCAAGCCUUCCUUUUACAGUCCAGUGUGGACCUCCUGCAGAGGAGGGGGCACGGAGGGCAGCUGAUCCCUCUCAAAGUUUACUCAGCUUCCUGCCUAGGCCACACAGUUCACGUCACACAGUCCCUGGAAUCUGGAGGUCAUGUGUUCAAUUUACUCAUGUCCUGUGGGGUACCACCUCCAAGGACCAGUUCUCCUGGAACAGAGCAGCACAAGCAGCCAGCCACCCAUGAGGCCUUAAGAAGGGCCCUAAACCUGGCCCUGGCUGUGUGUCGAGGAGUCCCUGUACUCGAGAGGUAGAGACAAGAGGCUUGGGCGUUUAAGGCAAGCAUGGACUACAUAGUGGGUUCUAGGAUAGCUUGGGCAACAUGAAACUGUCUCCAAAAAACCAAAUUAGGAGGCUGAAUGAAUGCCUCAACAGUUAAGAGCACUGGCUGCUCUUGCAGAGGACCAAGGUUCAAUUCCCAGCACCCACAUGGCAGCUCACGAGCAUCUGUGACUCCAGCCCUCGUUGGUGUGAGUAUACACACAUUCAGUCAAAACACCAAAAGACAUAAAAUAAAAUAAUUUUAAAAAUAUUUUAAGCA